rnacentral:rRNA from 1 species
AGCGAACGCUGGCGGCAUGCUUAACACAUGCAAGUCGAACGGAUCGUUCGGGAUCAGUGGCGGACGGGUGGGGAAGGCGUAGGGAGCUAUCCAUGGGUGGGGGACAACUCCGGGAAACUGGAGCUAAUACAGCAUGAUACCUGAGGGUGAAAGGCGCAAGUCGCCUUUGGAGGAACCGGCGUGCGAUUGGCUAGUUGGUGGGGUAAGGGCCUACCAAGGCGAUGAGCGAUAGCUGGGUUGAGAGGAUGCUCACCCACACUGGGACUGAGACACGGCCCAGACUCCUACGCAACGCAGCAGUAGGUAAUAUUGGACAAUGGGCGCAAGCCUGAUCCCGCAAUGCCGCGUGUGUGAAGCAGGUCUUCGGAUUGUAAAGCCCUUUGGACGGGGACGAUGAUGACGGUACCCGUAGAAGAAGCCCCGGCUAACUUCGUG